CAGUAGCCGCGGGAAUACGGAGGGAGCUAGCGUUGUUCGGAAUUACUGGGCGUAAAGCGCACGUAGGCGGCUUUGUAAGUUAGAGGUGAAAGCCUGGAGCUCAACUCCAGAACUGCCUUUAAGACUGCAUCGCUUGAAUCCAGGAGAGGUGAGUGGAAUUCCGAGUGUAGAGGUGAAAUUCGUAGAUAUUCGGAAGAACACCAGUGGCGAAGGCGGCUCACUGGACUGGUAUUGACGCUGAGGUGCGAAAGCGUGGGGAGCAAACAGGAUUAGAGACCCCUGUAGUCCCUGUCUCUUAUAC
rnacentral:rRNA from 1 species